AGUAGAAAUUUUAAACAUAAAUAUUCAAUUUUUCCUGGAGGGAACAACCCAUUCACACUAAGAAAACCAAAUUCAAAAUACGAUGUUAUUCCAUUUAAUUCAAAUGUAAGUAAUAAAUAUAAAAAGAUGGCAGGGUCGUGCUAUUUUUGAACUGGACACACGUCUAGUAAAGAAGAAUUACUAAACCAAAAUUUAUUAGCAAAGCAGAGUUUUCCUACCACAUUUAUUCAAGACAUAAAAUCAAAACAGAAGGCAGAGAAUCAAGGAACAGAAAAGAAAAGAUUUACAGGACUAGCCGAGUAUAAUAAAUUAAGCAAAAGACAUAUUUUCUUAAAAAAUGUUGUCAAAAACUCAGUUUUAGGUAAAAACAAACACUACCUACCAGCAGAAGUCCCUGGGAAAAAAUAGAACAGUUUGUGUUCACGAUUAGGAAACUGAGAAAACAACUCAACUUUGAAAGAGCUACAUAAACAAAUAGGUUUUUUUUUCAAGAAAAAUGCAAAAUGAGGAGAGAUGUAAAGGACUCUAGGACGGAAAAUUAACAAUCAUGGUAUUUUUGGAACAUCUAAUCCUCCUGGGGAGGCCCACAUAUGGUAGUGACACUCUGUUUUCCCGAGAGAGUGCUCUGCAACUACCUAAGCUGCACUUCAAGGUGACUAUCCUAGUCAGUCCUUGGCAUAAUUGUUUUUUUUCAAUUGAAACAUUACAGUUAGAUUUUAUUUGCACAAAACAAUUCCAAGCAUUAGUAAUAACCAUGAUUGUUUUUCUUAUCUGUUAUAAUUAUUUAGAAGGGCAAGGAUUUCAAACACAACACAAACUAGAGUUUUUCAUCAUUGAAAAGUGAAACUCGCUGAUGUUCAGAAUUUCCCCUCCUAUAAUCUCCUCUUAAGAUUUCUCAAUGUUGUUGGAGCAGAGAUUGUCAGGUACCGCAUCUAUCCCUGGGUUGCCUACCCUGUUCAUAGGGUACGUAUAGAAGGACUCAACCCUACCAGAGAUCGGAACUUCAACUAACCCUAACAGCUCAUCUAAAUGUGAUUUAACAGCAGAGGAUGAAUCUAGAAUAGAUGAAUUUUUUCCUGCAUUGAGCAAACAAUAUUCCCACUUUACUUCGUCUGAAGUGGGGAUUUCAACGAGAUCAAUCUUUUCCAGGAGACAGUGAAGAGGAGGGUUAGACUACAGAUUAAUCUUGAGGUGUAACUGCUUGGGCUCGUUUAAAUCUAGACGAGGGAGCAUAACUGUGACGUUAGAUAGCUCCUCAUGAUCCACAAGUUCUACAUGUAGUAUAUAUUCACAAUGUUCAAAAAAUGAUAUGUCUGGGUAUGCUGGGUUAAAAAAACUG